rnacentral:lncRNA from 1 species
UCGGUGCGUUAUUUACAAGCCAGUUGGGCUGCAGCAGAGCCGGAGGAUUGUGAGGGGCUCCCGGGCUUCGGAUGCGGGCGCGCGGCCACGGGCAGGAGGUCAGGCUGGACCCCAGGUUCUGGGGGACGACCCGCAGCAAUCCCGGCCCCUGCGCUGCGCCGCCCCCGCCCGCCGCACCCCGGGGCGCGCGCCGGCCACGGUCACCGGCGGCUGGAGCGCUGCCCUCGCCUCCCCCAUUGUUCCCACUGCCUUUUUCGCCUUUUGUUAUUUAUUUGCACCAGCAUUGUGUUGUCUCCGAAGCCGCCUCAUGACCAGCCGAGGGAUUUCACUUCGUCCUUGAGAGAGAGAGAGAGACAGAGAGCAAGAGAGAGCGAGAGAGGGAGCCAGAGGUUGGGGUGGGGGGGUGGAAGAGAGAGAGAGAGAGAAAGAGAGAGGGACAGGCGCGCACACACACACACACGCGCGCGCACACCCCACACAAACACACCCCGACACAGACACACACACACACAGAGUGCAAAAGGCGAGCCGCCCCAUCCCGUCUCCAGGGUCCUCCGGGGGCCCCCGCCCGCCGCUGCGCAUCCCGCGUCAGAGGAGCGAUUAACCAGACCCGACACUCUGACCUGUUGUGGUAUCAAGAUCUACUUCUGGAGGAUCCUAAGAAGUCUUGGACAAGCCUCCCACAUGUGGCAGGUGCUGUACUGGCUGCUGUUGACCCAAAGAUGAUGACAAGGAGGAUGCCCCUGCCCACAAGAAGUUAGCAAGCCGAUAAGGACUGAGUGAAGAGGACACACAGGGGAAGAAGACACUUGCCCCGGCUAGUCGCUGUCAUCUUCACAAGCUACAUUCAUAGAAACGGAGAGAAACUCAAUUGAAAAAAAAAAUGGCUUCAUAAGAUCCAGCUGUAAGGUAUUUUCUUAAUAAGUGAUUGAUGAGGGAGGGCCCAGCCCUUUGUAGAUGGGGCCAUCCCGGGGCUGGUGGUCCUGGGUUCUAUAAGAAAGCAGAAAGAGAAAACCACUAGGAGCAAGCCAGUCAUCAGCACCGGUGCAUGGGCUCUGCCUCAGGUCCUACCUCCAGGUUCCUGCCCUGUGUGAGCUCCUCUCCAGGCCUCCUUUAAUAAUUGACUAUAACGUGGAAGUAUAAGACAAGUAAACCCUUUUCUCCCCAACUUGAUUUUUUUUUGUUUGUCAUGGUGUUUCACCAUAGUAAUAGAAACCCUAAUUAAGGCAACAUGGAAACUAAGACUGCUAAGGGUAAGAAAAUUAGUUCAGUAUUGGAAAUAAUACUUUUAUAAUCGAAUCAACUGUCAAGUGUUUUGGGGCCUUCACGUGUGUUCAUAUAUGUGACGCACUCUGUGAUCUCUCUAGAGAUUAUUGACAUGAAGAAAUCACUGUUAUUAUUAAUGUCCCCAUCAAGAUUUCUUUGGGUGUGUGGAAAUAGGUGCGGGGGCAAGAAGACACGUCAGCCGCCAGUCCUCAGAGAAGCACCAUUGCUUUAUUUAUUUAUUUAUUUAUUUAUUUAUUUAUUUAUUUAUUUAUUUAUUUAUUUUGAGAGUGUCUUUUUCUGGCCUGAAACUUGCCAAAUGGCUUAGAGUGGGCUCUGAGAACCUGAGCAUGCACUUUUUUCUAUGUGGGCUCUGGGGGUCAGGGAAAGCACUUACACUGUGCCAUCUCUACAGCACCAACACCCACCUUUCUAACACCAACAGUGUUGGGGAGGAAAUACUUGCAGAGGCUACAUGGCCUUCUCUGUUGAGGACCAAUUCUCAGAGUCU